GAUGAACGCUGGCGGCGUGCUUAACACAUGCAAGUCGAACGGGAAUUACUUUAUUGAAACUUCGGUCGAUUUAAUUUAAUUCUAGUGGCGGACGGGUGAGUAACGCGUGGGUAACCUGCCUUAUACAGGGGGAUAACAGUCAGAAAUGGCUGCUAAUACCGCAUAAGCGCACAGAGCUGCAUGGCUCAGUGUGAAAAACUCCGGUGGUAUAAGAUGGACCCGCGUUGGAUUAGCUUGUUGGUGAGGUAACGGCCCACCAAGGCGACGAUCCAUAGCCGGCCUGAGAGGGUGAACGGCCACAUUGGGACUGAGACACGGCCCAGACUCCUACGGGAGGCAGCAGUGGGGAAUAUUGCACAAUGGGGGAAACCCUGAUGCAGCGACGCCGCGUGAAGGAAGAAGUAUCUCGGUAUGUAAACUUCUAUCAGCAGGGAAGAUAGUGACG
rnacentral:rRNA from 1 species